CCUACGGGAGGCAGCAGUAGGGAAUAUUGCUCAAUGGGGGAAACCCUGACGCAGCAACGCCGCGUGGGUGAUGAAGGUCUUCGGAUCGUAAACUCCUGUUAUUAGAGAAGAUAAUGACGGUAUCUAACGAAUCAGCACCUGCUAACUCCGUGCCAGCAGCCGCGGUAAUACGGAGGGUGCAAGCGUUACGCGGAAUCACUGGGCGUAAAGAGAGCGGAGGCGGGGUUGCAAGUCAGAUGUGAAAGCCCAUGGCUCAACCAUAGAACUGCAUUUGAAACUGUGAGUCUAGAGUAUAGGAGAGGUAGGUGGAAUUCCUGGUGUAGCGGUAAAAUCCGUAGAGAUAAAGAGGAAUACUCGUGGCGAAGGCGACCUGCUGG
rnacentral:rRNA from 1 species